CAUAUCAAUAAGCGGAGGAAAAGAAACCAACAGGGAUUGCCCUAGUAACGGCGAGUGAAGCGGCAACAGCUCAAAUUUGAAACCUGGCGCUUGCGCCCGGAUUGUAAUUUGUAGAGGAUGCUUCUGGGCAGCGGCCGGUCUAAGUUCCUUGGAACAGGACGUCAUAGAGGGUGAGAAUCCCGUAUGUGACCGGCGCGCACCCUCCACGUAGCUCCUUCGACGAGUCGAGUUGUUUGGGAAUGCAGCUCUAAAUGGGAGGUAAAUUUCUUCUAAAGCUAAAUAUUGGCCAGAGACCGAUAGCGCACAAGUAGAGUGAUCGAAAGAUGAAAAGCACUUUGGAAAGAGAGUUAAAAAGCACGUGAAAUUGUUGAAAGGGAAGCGCUUCCCACCAGACUCCGCGGCGGUGUUCCGCCGGUCUUCUGACCGGUCCACUCGCCGCCGUGGGGCCAGCAUCGUCUGGGGCCGCCGGAUAAGACCGCAGGAAUGUAGCUCAUUGAGUGUUAUAGCCUGCGGUGAUGCGGCGCGCCCCGGGCGAGGUCCGCGCUUCGGCAAGGAUGCUGGCGUAAUGGUGGGCAGCGGCCCGUCUUGAAACACGGACCAAGGAGUCUAACAUCUAUGCGAGUGUUCGGGUGUCAAACCCCUACGCGUAAUGAAAGUGAACGGAGGUGGGAGCUUCGGCGCACCAUCGACCGAUCCUGAUGUCCUCGGAUGGAUUUGAGUAAGAGCAUAGCUGUUGGGACCCGAAAGAUGGUGAACUAUGCCUGAAUAGGGUGAAGCCAGAGGAAACUCUGGUGGAGGCUCGCAGCGGUUCUGACGUGCAAAUCGAUCGUCAAAUUUGGGUAUAGGGGCGAAAGACUAAUCGAACCAUCUAGUAGCUGGUUCCUGCCGA
rnacentral:rRNA from 1 species